CUGAAAUAAGAUAUAUUCUUUAUUUAACCAAUCAUGAACCUUUCCGAAUUUGAAAUUCAUAUGAGAUCAUAUGAUACAAAUUAAUGCUUACAAUAACUUUUUUAAGACAAUAGUUUAAUAAAAUAAAGAAUUAUAGAACAAUGGAUAGUCAGUGCAUGUACACGAGGGAAAUGUUAAAAAGAGAGAAAAUCAAAAAUUAAGUAAGCUCUGUAAUACUUGAACUAUAUGAAAAAACAAAAUACAAAACAAAGGUGAAAAUCAAAAACCUAAAAAUUAAACGUCUACAAGUGUGCUCACUACCCGUUCCUUGAUAAUUAGCUUUUAAACUGACUACAAUUAAAAAUAAAAGAAGAAAAAAAACAAUUGUAAACAACAACCUUUCUACACUCCCCAUGAU
rnacentral:lncRNA from 1 species